rnacentral:rRNA from 1 species
UACGUAGGUGGCAAGCGUUGUCCGGAUUUACUGGGCGUAAAGGAUGCGUAGGCGGACAUUUAAGUCAGAUGUGAAAUGCCCGAGCUUAACUUGGGUGCUGCAUUUGAAACUGGGUGUCUAGAGUGCAGGAGAGGUAAGUGGAAUUCCUAGUGUAGCGGUGAAAUGCGUAGAGAUUAGGAAGAACACCAGUGGCGAAGGCGACUUACUGGACUGUAACUGACGCUGAGGCAUGAAAGCGUGGGGAGCAAACAGG